CAGGUUCUACUACACUGCCACACGGGGGGGGGGGCCCGCCCGGAACAUCUGCUCUUGGGGUCCCGCUGAAUCAUGACCAAGACACAGCAGCAAGUGACUGGACCAGGGGAGUGUGUGAGGAAUCAGCUGCCCGGAAGGGAAAGGCGCCAGCUGACCCCCUCGUCACUCCGGGACUAUGACUCCACUGUGAAGCGGCCAACCCUAUUCUCAUCAGAAGGGACCAGAGCAGGAGCCUUUGGCUUGUCCUUGGCUACAACGGAUGUCCACUGAGUCAGGAACACGAAAAUGAGACCCCGCCUUGCCAUGAGGAACAUGGGACAUUUUGGAGUUGAGUAGAAUAUCAUGGCUCUGCCCCAAAGUGAUGGCUGUUAUGCACCUGGGAGAUGACUGCUUCUCCAGCCAUCUGCUGGCAGGCAUCGGGAUGGAUUUGAUGGACUGAAGGCCGAGAGCAGCAACAGGAGAGGCGUUUACAGAACCAUGGACUUGACCCAGCAGUACUGCCUGGGCCAUGUGAGGCCAGAGCCACCCCAGCCCCAGCCUCAGGCCCGGGUACUCAGAGAGCUGAGGACGGCUAUGCUGCAGAGUCUCAUCCCGGAGGACACUGAGAGCAGACAGGGGCCAGUGUCCCUUGAGAGGUGUCACUCCGAUUCCAGCCUCAAAAAAUGGUCCACACCUUUGCCUUGAGGAAGACCCAUGUUCCUCAGUCCUCGUGGAUCCUGGGAGAGGCAGAAGGCAGCCCCUGAGAGGAGUUUCACAGAAGGACACUGCUGUGCCUUGAGUCUGAACACUUGGUACCCAGCCGGUGGUGCUGUCUUGGGGUGUGGGGCCUCGAUGGAGGAAGUGAGUCAUGGCAGGUGGGGCGCAAGGGUCAGGUGCCUGCUCCACUUCUGUCUGUACUCUCUGCCUCUUGGUCCCCUGCAAUGUAGGAAGCAGCUGCUGUUGUUGUGUUCCCGCCAUGGUGGAUUGGCUGCAUCCCCUGAAACCAUGAGCCAAAAUAGAUGGCCCUGCAGUGGCUUCUCCUCAGAUACUCUGUCACUGUGACGAGGAAAGGAACUAAUACAGAUGUUGAGAGCUUCCUGUGUGUCACACAGAGGGUAUGAGAUGUGUCUACAAGACAAUCUCUGGCCUUGGGGAAAAGUGUGAGUGUAGGUACAGAUGCAUAGGUGUCUUAUAUGCAUAUAUGUGCCUUAUAAUUUUACUAUUAUGGAAGUAUUUUUACUAUAAAUGUAAGUGUAUAAAUGAAUCAAUAUAUCUGUUUUUACUGCUGGGGA